GGAUGCCAUUCGCAGUUAGUUCAGUAGCGUGGAUGGAGAAUAACGCGUGGCUGGAGGAACAAUUGAAAAAUGGAUAAGAUAAUACAACAAAAGGAUGAUCAAAUUAUGGACCUGCAGGCUCAAUUAUUGCAACAGCACAAAAUAUUAGAUAACAGCAAAGCUAAGGAUGCUCAAAGUUUGAGUCUACAAGCUCAGCUAGGGGAAAAGAACAAAUUGGAACGGAACAGUUUCCAAACAGUGAAGGAGGUUUUUCCAAACUCAAACCUAACUGAACAUGAGGAUGAAUUGGCAUUAGGCGAACACAUUCAGUUAUUCAGUCUACCACCUGACAGUGUGUUAAAUUUAAAUUCUGUUAGUGCUGCACAAAAAGAAUCGUUAGUAAUAAGCCCAUGCAGUGAAGGAAGUGAACAAUUGUGGGACCAUAUUUGGGCCGAAAAUGGGUGUGGUACGGAAACCAAGAUAUGGCACAAGUUCAACAUGAAACAUGGAUUAGAAUUUAAUGGGGGAUCAAAUCAAGUCUGGAAGUGUUACAGGAUGGAAGAGUCAGCCUACAGAUGAAAAAACACAGAGUGCAUUACCAUUAAGUACAACAGCAAUCCUUUAUAGUUCUGUCACAGCUAGAAACCUCAAAUAAUUCUGCUUCUCUGUCUAAAGAACAACUUGUCCUUUGCGUUCAGAGUGUUGGGGAAACUGGGUACUUAAAUGGCCCUAAAGAUGUUAUAAUUUUGCUGCCAUUGCAGAGAUGAACAUCAUACAUGGACUCUUUAGGAAAGGAUUUUCAUGUACUGGGAACACAACUAUCAACAAUGCAACAUUGUACAGCUUCCACCAGAAGUUGAAUCUAUGAGUCAUGUAAGUUACAUGAUCAACAGUUGAUAUGUUUAACGGUGUUGUUUUUCUUUUCUCAAUAUAGGUUAAUAGUAACAUUGGAUCUGAAAAAAUUCUUGGUUGGGGCAAGACACUGAAUAAAUUGUAUUGAUUGGAUGGAUGACAUGACAUUUCUAUACUUAAUUCGGAUUCCCCAGACGGUAUUUUAUAUUAAAAAAAUUGAAGUGCAUAUCUGGGCUCCCUUCUUUUCUGAAGCCCCGUUUCCCCUUGACUCGUAAUAAGCCCGUAGGGGGUCAUGCCCCUACUGUACGG